UCCCGCCUCAGCCUCCAAAGUAGCCGGGACUACAGGCGCGCGCCACCACCCCUGGCUAAGAAUGCCUUCGGGUUUUGUCGUGAUGGGGACAAGUUCACUUAGGCCAGCUGACUAAGAUCAAGAGCUCAGCUGCAGUAAUUUUCUCUAGUGGAUGAUGUAAGGGAGUCAUUGGCAGAGAAGCAAGAGACUUGGCUUCAGAGUGGGCAGUAACAGGGCUGAAUCUGGUUUUACAAAGCAGGUAAUGUAAAGCUCUCAUUGCCUCUGUAAGGACAAGGCUUUGAGCCAUGAGUCCCAGGGUCCUCUAAGUGAAGGCUUCUUAAAGGAAUUGAGCCUCGUUUCCUGGAUUUGAGGUUUAUUCUUUUUCACAUUCCCUUUGUACACCAAAUAUAUUUAGUAUUUAUUAUAUUUUAAGUUUAGACCUUUGGAAUUUUUUUU